rnacentral:lncRNA from 1 species
UUAUAAUAUAAAACAAGAUAAAGAAAUUGUAUUAUUGUUAUGUUUAUGCAUUAAAAAUAUCAGUUUAUAUUAAUCCAUUGAUGUCUACAAGAUAUUUCCAAGUAAAACUAAUUAAUAUGAAAAAAAUUAAUACAGUACACUCCCGAGUAUCUGGCUCGCGACUAUCCGCCCUCCGUACUAUCUGGCUUAGUUUUCUUUUAUGAUAAUUAAAUGAGGAAGGCAAGAUGUUGCAUUGGCAACAUUGCCAAGGCAUUGGAAGCGGGCGUUUGCUACGAUCCUCCUACGUAUCGUGUGCAAAAUCCAAGUUGUGACAGGAAAAGAGCAGCAUUCUGCUCGUUAUUCAUUGUUUCGUCAGUGUGUAACGGACCUCAAUUGUUGCCACUGUUCCUGAUUAUAACUGUACAGUAUGUACAGUAUUCGUAAAUUGUUCUUGGGGUAUGCUUAAUGUUUUUUAAGUGUACUAC